UACGUAGGGGGCAAGCGUUGUCCGGAUUUAUUGGGCGUAAAGAGCGUGUAGGCGGCCAGACAGGUCCGUUGUGAAAACUCGAGGCUCAACCUCGAGAUGUCGAUGGAAACCGUCUGGCUAGAGUCCGGAAGAGGAGUGUGGAAUUCCUGGUGUAGCGGUGAAAUGCGCAGAUAUCAGGAAGAACACCCGUGGCGAAAGCGGCUCUCUGGAACGGUACUGACGCUGAGACGCGAAAGCGUGGGGAGCAAACAGG
rnacentral:rRNA from 1 species